rnacentral:rRNA from 1 species
UACGAAGGGUGCAAGCGUUACUCGGAAUUACUGGGCGUAAAGCGUGCGUAGGUGGUUUGUUAAGUCUGAUGUGAAAGCCCUGGGCUCAACCUGGGAACGGCAUUGGAAACUGGCUUACUAGAGUGCGGUAGAGGGGUGUGGAAUUCCCGGUGUAGCAGUGAAAUGCGUAGAUAUCGUUUGGAACGCCAAUGGUGAAAACAGGUUGCUGGGAGUGUGCUGACGCUGAGACACGAAAGCCAGGGGAGCAAACGGG